rnacentral:tRNA from 2 species
GGGCCCAUAGCUCAGUUGGCAGAGCCCCCGGCUCAUAACCGGAUGGUCCCAGGUUCGACCCCUGGUGGGCCCACCA